GAUGAAGUACGCAGCAAAAUGCGAUAAGUAAUGUGAAUUGCAGAAUUCAGUGAAUCAUCGAAUCUUUGAACGCACAUUGCGCCCGCUGGUAUUCCGGCGGGCAUGCCUGUUCGAGCGUCAUUUCAACCCUCAAGCCCCCGGGUUUGGUGUUGGGGAUCGGCUCUGCCCUUCUGGGCGGUGCCGCCCCCGAAAUACAUUGGCGGUCUCGCUGCAGCCUCCAUUGCGUAGUAGCUAACACCUCGCAACUGGAACGCGGCGCGGCCAUGCCGUAAAACCCCAACUUCUGAAUGUUGACCUCGGAUCAGGUAGGAAUACCCGCUGAACUUAAGCAUAUCAAUAAGCGGAGGA
rnacentral:misc_RNA from 1 species